UAUCGACGUUUCACUACGGCACGGGUGGAUACCAUAAAGACAUUGUUGUUGUUGCUAUGGUGUUAAUUAGCAACGAAUAUGAUAAGCAUAGUCAAACAUGUCGUACACGGGGAUGUGCGACUACUUCCACUACGUCGACUACUUUCACUGCACGAGGAUGUACGACUACUUCCACUAUGACAGAGCAUCAUAUCAUGUCCUCCGCUCCCCUCCUCGCUUGAUUCUGGUGAGAAUUCUAGGCUACUAGUCUUUAAUUCACCUUUAUGUCUUCCCUUAGCAGUUGGUCGGAUUCUCCCCUCUUUUAAGUUGCUCCACUACUCCCUUUUAUAGACCAAUGGAGGAGAGAGAGGGUUACAUGUCUACUGGGCGAUGGGCCUCACCUAGCAGGGUCUCAACAAUUCCUAUCUUAUCGUGGUCGUGGAGUCAUACGCGGUGGCAUGCAUUGGUUGUGCCAUAAUAUUGAGAAUAUCCUAUUGUAGUGGCAGGUAUGGCUUAUCGUAGACGCAUGUAUGCCCAGUUGUAACGAUGGGUACUAGAGUCCAUGUCAUCGUGUAUGUUGUAGUUGAUAACCGAUAUAGCAAUCUGUACUUUAUAAUACUUCUUGGUACUCUAGCAUAUUCAAACAUGUCUAUAGGGAUGAUGGGAUGUAUCGAAUAGUGACCUUGAGUAUGCAUGCUACAUAUGUUAUGGCAAUAGUGUUUCUUUGUG
rnacentral:lncRNA from 1 species